GCUCUACGCGCUCGCAUCGACUAAGAAGUGUGUUCAAUCGUGACAAAUAAGCAUAUAAAAGAAAUAUCACACAUUUAACAACAGUUCUACAUUUGUUUUAAUAAUUUCGUACAUCAUUGAAGUGUUUCUGACGGAUGUUAAUUUGAGUGUUUUCAAGCAGUCGUUUUCACUCCAGCUUCGAAUUUAAUUUCCAUCCGUAAUGGCCGACUUCAAUUGAAGCGCAUGGCAACGCAGCAAAUCAAACGGAAUUAUGUUCGAGUGCACCCUUUGACGUCGUCGUAUGUCGCGUGCAUCCACUUUUCCUUAUCAUUGUAAGUGUUCACGUGUUCACGUGAGCGUGUACACGCGUGCAUAUUAUCAUCAACUUUGGUUAAAUAUGUACGUACGUCAAAGUGUGUCUUGUGUCGUGCACUUUACUUGAAAGCUUGCAAUAUAAUAAUAAUAUCCUUUGCGAUAUUAUUCUAAACUUGUUUAUAAUGAUAUUAAAAGUUGAGACAUUAAUGCAGAAAUGAA